UACAGAGGGGGCAAGCGUUGUUCGGAAUUACUGGGCGUAAAGGGCGCGUAGGCGGCCGCCUAAGUCAGACGUGAAAUCCCUCGGCUCAACCGGGGAACUGCGUCUGAUACUGGGUGGCUUGAAUUCGGGAGAGGAAUGCGGAAUUCCAGGUGUAGCGGUGAAAUGCGUAGAUAUCUGGAGGAACACCGGUGGCGAAGGCGGCAUUCUGGACCGAUAUUGACGCUGAGGCGCGAAAGCUAGGGGAGCGAACGGG
rnacentral:rRNA from 1 species